UACGUAGGGGGCAAGCGUUGUCCGGAUUCAUUGGGCGUAAAGAGCGUGUAGGCGGCCAUACAGGUCAGCUGUGAAAACUCGAGGCUCAACCUCGAGACGUCGGUUGAAACCGUAUGGCUAGAGUCCGGAAGAGGAGAGUGGAAUUCCCGGUGUAGCGGUGAAAUGCGCAGAUAUCGGGAAGAACACCCGUGGCGAAGGCGGCUCUCUGGGACGGUACUGACGCUGAGACGCGAAAGCGUGGGGAGCGAACAGG
rnacentral:rRNA from 1 species